rnacentral:rRNA from 1 species
UACGGGGGGAGCAAGCGUUGUUCGGAUUUACUGGGCGUAAAGGGCGCGUAGGCGGCGCAACAAGUCACUUGUGAAAUCUCCGGGCUUAACCCGGAGCGGCCAAGUGAUACUGUCGUGCUAGAGUGCGGAAGGGGCUACUGGAAUUCUCGGUGUAGCGGUGAAAUUCGUAGAUAUCGGGAGGAACACCAGUGGCGAAGGCGGCGACCUGGGCCAAUAUUGACGCUGAGGUGCGAAAGCGUGGGGAGCAACAGG